AGUCGUAACAAGGUUUCCGUAGGUGAACCUGCGGAAGGAUCAUUACCAAUCCAAAGAUUACAUCUUUUCCUGUGAACUAUUGUUUCUUGUUAAUAUUUGGGUGGCUCUGAAUAUAUUUCAUAUAUGUGUCAUCAUCGCAUAUUGCUUGCAUAUGGCAUAUAUUAAAUAUUUUUAUCCACCCAAAUAUUUUAAUUAUUAACACCAAAUUGAAUCUUAAUAAAUAAAUUUGUUUUGUUGAAUAAAAAUUCUUCAAUACAAAAAAUAUUUAAAUAAAAUACAACUUUUAGCGGUGGAUCUCUUGGCUCAU
rnacentral:misc_RNA from 1 species